CAGUAGCCGCGGGAAUACGUAGGGUGCGAGCGUUAAUCGGAAUUACUGGGCGUAAAGCGUGCGCAGGCGGCUUUGCAAGACAGAUGUGAAAUCCCCGGGCUCAACCUGGGAACUGCAUUUGUGACUGCAAGGCUAGAGUACGGUAGAGGGGGAUGGAAUUCCGCGUGUAGCAGUGAAAUGCGUAGAUAUGCGGAGGAACACCAAUGGCGAAGGCAAUCCCCUGGACCUGUACUGACGCUCAUGCACGAAAGCGUGGGGAGCAAACAGGAUUAGAUACCCCAGUAGUCCCUGUCUCUUAUAA
rnacentral:rRNA from 1 species